rnacentral:lncRNA from 1 species
GCAAUAUACUUGUUGUUGCUAGGAAUGGUAACUGUGUUCUUACUGGUCAGGGAUUUGACCUUAUCGUUGAGCUCUUGUAGAUUGGUAAAACUGCUUGCUCCUAAAAUACGAUUUAUUCUAUUGUGCAGCACUUUCUUCUCUUGAAUGGAGGCAUCUAAACCUUCGACUGUUAUGACGAUUGGGAAGUGGUUGCUGUUGGUUAUUUUGGAUUUAAGGGCUUGCCAGUCAAUUCUACCGUUCUUGUGAUUGGAAAAGGUGAGGUCAAGAACAGAGAAUUGGGAAGGGUUCCUGGAGAAAGUUGGAGAUCCGUCGUUAAGACAGAUAAAUCCCUCCUCACAAGUAGCAUUCUCGAUGAUGCGGCCCUUGCGGUCACUGGAAGGGUUUCUCCAGAUGGAAGACUUGGCGUUGAAAUCUCCUCCUACGACUGAAGGGUAGUCUAGGGACUCCGCAAGCUCGAACACCUUUUUAAUGCCCGAUUUGAAUUGGGAAAGUGUCAUUGAAGGCGCAGCGUAUGCGCUGAAUAUGUUGAGGUUGUUUUUGAGGUUCAGGGUCUUAAUACCUACGAUCUCUAGAUCACAGUCUAUUUUCAGAAUGCUAAAUCUAAUUUUCUUUCUCAUAUAGAUUCCUACUCCGCCGUAGCCGUCUUCUUUGGGCUUGCCGAUGAAGUUGUAAUCUAAGAUACUGCAGUCCUCAUUAUUUACAACCCAAAUCUCCGAAAGGAUUGAGAUGUCUCUUUCGUUGUUUAUUAGAAACAUAUUGAGGAGCUGUUUGUUGUUGUUGUAAGUCAGACUUUGAAUGUUUAGGUGAAGAAUCUUCAUUGUUUUUUGUUUGGGUAUCCCGCUUCCACCCCUUGCACAAUUUGCAAACUGUCGAGUUCAGCAUUGGAGGUGUUAACAUAAUCCAAGAUCUGUUGAAAAAACUUCUGCACCAAUUCCCUCUUGGAAAUAUUUCUGGGUUCCACCAGGAACUCUGUAAGCAUGGAUCCCAGUGCGUUAAGCUUUUCCUGAGCCACAGAUGAAACCACGGGCGUUGUUCUCACAAAUUUCUCUCUCAAUUGAGGGCUAUCUGCGUUGAUAGCGUUCCUCCAUUCUGCCAUGUUGGCAGCUGCCUUAGCCGACUCCAAAUUGCGGGCUGCCGCUCUUUUGGCUUUUGUCACCUCGGCGAACGAAGCAACCGAGUGAAUUUCCCUAGCUGCCUCAGUGUUGUUGUUUAGGCGUUCGGGGAGGA